GACGAACGCUGGCGGCGUGCUUAACACAUGCAAGUCGAACGGGAUAAUUUGAGAGCUUGCUCUUAGAGAAUCUAGUGGCAAACGGGUGAGUAACACGUAGACAACCUGCCGACAGGAUGGGGACAACAUUCCGAAAGGAAUGCUAAUACCGAAUGAAGCGGAGGAGAGGCAUCUCUCCUCCGUGAAAGAUGGCCUCUGAAUAUGCUAUCACCUGUCGAUGGGUCUGCGUCUGAUUAGCUAGUUGGUGAGGUAACGGCUCACCAAGGCGACGAUCAGUAGCCGGUAUGAGAGGUUGAACGGCCACAUUGGGACUGAGACACGGCCCAGACUCCUACGGGAGGCAGCAGUGGGGAAUCUUCCGCAAUGGGCGCAAGCCUGACGGAGCAACGCCGCGUGAGUGAAGAAGGUCUUCGGAUCGUAAAGCUCUGUUGACGGGGACGAACGUGCGAAGGCUGAAUAAUCCUUUGUAAUGACGGUACCUGUCGAGGAAGCCACGGCUAACUACGUG
rnacentral:rRNA from 1 species